UUUUAUGGGAUUUUACCGGUCUUUUUUUUUUGCUCAAUAUCCUAGAAUUUAGGUUCGUCGGUAAGGUUGGAGUGAGCUGUUGGUCGCGGGGCCGCGAAAUGUCGCGGGGCGCCUCCCCGGAGGACCAAAGCCCACCGUUCCUUAUCCGAGUCACGGCACCAGAAAUUGUCAUAAAUUGAGACCACAACGGAUCAUAAUCCAAUUAAAAUGUUAUUAAUUAUAGCAAGUAGAAUAUGAGCAAAAACAGCGCUGGACGACAGGGGAGUCUGCGCUCCGCCAACUGCCGUUCUGAGCAGUUCAAACAGUCCCUUUUGUGCAUCUUUACUUCCGUGUUCAUGAAGUAGUGGAGGUACUCUGCGCAUGCUUCAGUUGUUGUUAGGGGGUCGUUUUCUGCCUCCUGGUGGUCGUUGAGGCCGAAGUAAGAAGUCUUCCUCCUUUGUCCCAUAGUUGACCCCUCAUUCAUAUGUCCUUAUAUGGGGUUGUUUGUCCUAUUUCUGUCGGUUCCUGGAAGUCUGGCGGUUAUCUCGCGAUUGUGGUUAUCUUAUCUUAAGCAAGCGGUGUCUGGUAGCUGUUUGCAUAAGCGAUUUCACAUCUUUUGUUGCCUAACCUUUACAUUGAGCUUAACAUAAAUCUUAAUAAACAAUAUCCUAGUCCAUAGUUUCUCACACGUGUAAAAGGGCGAGACAAUAAAACCGCUUCCCCGUGUGCUGCCGUGUUGUUACUUGAAGUACACCUCGGAUGUGGGUUUCGCUGUUCCUCUGCUCGGAACUCCUCCUCAGAGCAAGACUUCCCCAUGUAACAAGUGAUGGGACAGGAGGAAACGGCCUCAAGCUGCUCCAGGGGAGGGUUAGAUGGAGCUGAGGAACAAUUCCUUCUCCAGAGGGUGCUCAGGCAUUGGAACAGGCUGCCCAGGGCUGUGCUGGAGUCACCGUCCCUGCAAGUGUUCACACACCGUGCAGCCGAGGCCUCAGUGCCAUGGGUUAGUGGUGGCCUUGGCAGUGCUGGGAACGGUUGGACUUGAUCAUCUUAAAGCUCUUUUCCAACCCGGUUAACUCCAUGACCGGCUCGCUCCCGCCCUGCGGCGCCGCUCACCCGGCACCGUCUCGCCCGCCCUCCCCGGGGGGGGCGCCGGUUCCCCUCCGGCUCAGAACCCGGCCGUGCCAGGGAGCGGGGCGGGCAGCGACCCCGCGGGUGCCGCCUUCCCCGGCCGCGUCCAGCGGC
rnacentral:lncRNA from 1 species